rnacentral:lncRNA from 1 species
CUCCCCCCCAUUCAGCCACUGACUUUAAUGUUGCCGUGUGUUUACUACAGUCCUGCUGGAAGAGGGAAACAACACAAAAAAACAACAAAAAACACGGAAAAAACAGGGACUCUUUCCUGUCUUCACAUGCGUACGACCCCGAGCAGCGAGAGCAGAGCUUUCUGAGUUUCAUUGUCGAAAGGAGCGAGCCAUCAGGGACUGCAGUAUGCCCAAGAGAAAGCAACAGGGAGUUGAUGGCGACAUAAAGGAAGAGCCCCAGAGGAGAUCUGCAAGGCUAUCAGCGGUGAGUUAAUGCUUACUUUUCCCCACUUAGGUCAAGUUUAACUGCACCACAUAUAGAGUAUGGAGCUGUUAUCCAUUGCAUACUCAAUUUUUUAUUGUACAGUGCUGCAGCUCUAAUCAAAAUAUUUUAUAGCAAAAACUUAGCAUGACAGUUAAGGACAGAGAGUUGUAUCAUGAGGAUUACCAGUUUGAUACCGAGGAAAGUCCUUGCUGCUUAGGAUAAAGGAAUAAGGAUGUUUCUGGUUUAUGUUUAUUCAGAGGAUAUGCUUAUUUUCCUCUUUCUUAGAAACCUGCUCCUCCAAAGCUGGAACCAAAACCAAAAAAGGCAGCUAAGAAGGAGAAAGUUGUCAACGACAAAAAGGAAGACAAAAAGUCUAAGGGAAAGAAAGGGAAGACAGAUGAUGAAGCCAUGGAGGAGAACCACUCGGAAAAUGGAGACGCAAAAGCUAACAAGGUGGAGGAGACUCCUGAGCAGCCGGAGAAGGAUGAGGCAAAGUCUGAGUAGUAAUGCCUCCCUCACAUCCCUUUCUUCAACAGCCACCGAAAUGUUUCAUAGUUUUCCGGAAACCUCCAUCACUUGUAAACAGAGGAAUAUUUUUAUCAGCGGUUUUAUAAAUAUCGUUACAGGUUUUUAGCACAAUUCCAGGCUAAGCAUUGAGCAACUUGCCGUUUUGCAGUACUCUUGUCAAGUAUCUGCAAAGUAAGCAAAGGCCACACCCCCCUCCUUUUUUAUUUUUAAGAAUUUUUUGUGAUUGUUACUAGAUUGUUGAGCAUAGGAAAUACUACCAGCUGGUUUUUCACCGAGUAUUGUCACAACCCGUGUUUUUGCCCUUCCGGAAGUGUUUUACUUCUGUGGUUAGUUUGUCGUCUGUAUGUGCAGUGUCGUUUCUUGGUUUUGUUUUGAAAUGUUUUGGAUUUAUUCAGGGAGGGGUGUCCCGCAUAAAAUGGUAUGUCUAUAACAGAAUAGCUAAACUGAAGACAUUCCAGCUGUAUAUUUUUUUUUUUUUUGGAUUUUUCCCCUCUUUAAAUAAUGUUAGGAAUUAUGAAUAGUAAAAACUUGUGUGGUCACACUAUAGUUUUUUUUUUUUUUUUUUUUUUUUUUUUAAACACUAUCAAAAUUCAGACAUCUAAUGAAUGAUGCAGUUAUCUGUGUGUACCCAUUAUGUUGUGGAUGUCUAAUAAAAAUAAUCCUUGGAAUUUUUUUUCUUCUUUC